rnacentral:rRNA from 1 species
AACGUAGGAGGCAAGCGUUAUCCGGAUUUACUGGGCGUAAAGCGCGUGCAGGCGGCAGGGCAAGUUGGAUGUGAAAGCUCCCGGCUCAACUGGGAGAGGUCGUUCAAUACUGCCCGGCUGGAGGAUGGUAGAGGGAGGUGGAAUUCCGGGUGUAGUGGUGAAAUGCGUAGAUAUCCGGAGGAACACCAGUGGCGAAAGCGGCCUCCUGGACCAAUCCUGACGCUCAGACGCGAAAGCUAGGGUAGCAAACGGG